CUCCGCGCCCCCCGCGCUGCCUGAGGGCAGAGCCGGAGCUGAGGAACAGCCCUGGAACGGGCCCGGGCCCGCGGCGGCAUUGAGCUGCCAGCACCAACAAACUGCUCCGCAGCUCCCGCCACGCCUUUCCCAGCCCUGCGCCUGCCGUGCCUCCGCCUCAGCGGGAAGCCCUGCAGCCUCGCUGCUCCUACCCCUAAUCAGGAGCAUCCGUGCAUCGCUUUGAUCUCCCUCAAAAAGGGAAAACCGCCCCAAAACCCCGUACAUGAGUGGGGGAGGGGAGAGAUUUCUGUCAGAGAACUCCAAAAUCUCAGAGCAGGAUAAUGAGAAGUCACCCUCACAGCCAGAAGAGCUCCAAGAACGUAAAUCCCAAAGCAAAUUGUUUCUGCAGACUGCAGAAUAUUCCUCUGUGUUGAGGCUGGAGUCCUGUGGGAAUUCCCUUCCCCAUGUGCAGGAACCUCCAGCUGCUGCUCCCAGUGCAGGGUCACCCUGUGCUCACAGGCCCCUGCAGCCCCUGGAGAAUUUGCCUCUUACCAUGGCCGCCGUUUCCCUGAAGUAAGGAGGUUCUCCUUCCACCAUCUCGAUGGUCACGAUACCAAAGGACCAGAUGUCCACCUUGGGGCCAUAAGGAGAUCUGGUCACAACCUCUGGGGCCAUCCAGUGAGCAGUGCCCACCAUGGAGCUGCGCUGGUCCUGCUCAGGGCUGAGCUGAGCACAGAGGCCAAAAUCAGCUGAGGACAGAAACAAACAAUGUCAAAGGCACUGGAAUGAGGAAACCAAGCACAAAGAUUCCCCACCUUCAACCUGAGAAUGCAGUAGUGAAGUCAGCUGGACAAGCCCAACAAAGGAAAGAUGGAACUGGACCCUUCAAGAAAGCCUGAGCUUUCAUGCAGUGGCUGUUACUGAUUCCCUUGAAGCUUUGGAUUCCCAGUGCUGCCCCUCUGGAAGGGCCACAGCCAGAGCAAAGGCACUGCUGAUGCCCUGCUCCUCUGCUGAGCUCUGUGCUCGGGCAGCCGCUCUCAGCUGGCAGCAGGGGCCGGGCAGUGCCCCCAGCAGCCCUUGUGGGGCUCUGGCCGUCACUGGGAAGCAGCCCCACACCCGCAGCCCGGGAGCGCCGUGCCUGGCCAGGAACACCCACCCAGCCUGACAGAGCCGUCCAUUCCCAGAAGGAUGUUGGAGCUCUUCACAUCCCUGUGGAUCACCCGCUUGGAAUGGAGGAAAUCCAGGCCCUGCAGACACUGAGAGAGAACAAGAAACAUGAGGGCAAAAACCAGUGGCCGGAAUAAAUCACACAAGAAAGGACAGUUUAGAAUUCUGCCAGCAGCAGCUUUGCUGUGACAGGCCAGGAGCGCAGUGCACACAAGCUCCAGGCAAACGGUUCAAGGCAAAGCUGAGAACAGCAAAUCAAAUCCAAAAAAGACAGAGAGUACCACAACAGCAGGAGAGAGAGCAAGAACAGAGUAGAUGUGCAGUGAUGCUGGCAGGACGUUCACUGCCGAGGCUCUUUCUUCUCCAGCUCAUCAAAACAACAGAGAAACAAAGCCCUGAGCAUGGAGCCACUCCUGUUCUCACGCCCUGUUUGGAAGGACCAUCGUGUCCAAGGCAUGGGAGUGACAAGCAGGAUCCCUCACCUCCCGACUGACAGCUGCCAUCUCUCCUUCAGCCAUGCGUGUCUGUCUGACAACGUCCUGCAAAGUUCCUCCAUCCAUGUAUUCCAUCACCAGCCAGAGAUCUCCAUCAACAAGGAAGCUGGGAGAGGAAAACAAUGGCAUGGAGAUGAAUGUGCAGUGCUCCAUUCCCCCAUGGAAAAGCCUGGAGUGCAGUUUUGUUUCCAGGUCACUUGUCAGUGAGGACAGAAUCAGAUGGAGAGACAUUCCUGCCAGGCUGCCCAGCCCUUGGAAUCUGCACAGUCUGAAGGAGAAGGAGACACCUGUGAGAAAGGAGAGGCCUUAGAUGGCAAGCAGGGGAAAAUUGCAGUUUAGCAACUGCCCAGAUCAAUGUGGAACCACAACACUUGGCCCCAGCUGGUUCAGCUUCUGAACUCAUCAGUUCCACCAUUCCCUCCAGAGCAAGGCAACAGAACUGCCAGGGUUAUCCAGGGGAGGAGGCCGUGCAGCACUUGGGACAAAAGCAGUCUGGAAACCUUUCAGAAAGUCCCUUCAGAAACAGGCAAGGCCAGGAAAAAUGGGCAAAUGAGGCAUUUCUGGAAAGAAGAACCUGGUCUUCCUGGCCUCUGCAGAAAUGGGAAAGGGCUGGGAAGAAGAAGCCAAGGAAAAUAAUUUCUGCUGUGGUUUAUCAGCACUUGUUGUGAGACACAGCAAAUGGGGUCAACAUGAAGGAAAAACCAAACCAAAGCAACAAAAGCACAAGGAGGGUGUGAACUGCCAGGCUGUUGUUUUGGGGAGAUAUGGCUGGGUCAGGCAUUUUCAAAACAGGCUACAGACUACGGAUGCCAGGAAAGGGUAACGCAGGGCCUGUGCAUGGGAUAAGAGCUGAAGCAUUCACCUGUCCAAAAAGUUGACAAUGUUGCGGUGCUUCUUGUCCUUCAGGAGCAGGAUCUCAUUCACAGCUCGUUGCCUGUUCUGCCCUGUGAGACUCAUUUUCUUGAUGGCCACCUGGAGGGACAUGGCAGACCUGGAACUGGAGGAGUCUGUGGCAGGAGGCCACAGCAAACACGGAGCGAGUCUUUUUGGAGCGACGGAGCCGGGCUGUGCCAAACUGCCUUGGGAUGGGACACCAGAGCUCAGCAAGUGCCAUUCCCACAGCCCAUUGCUCUGCUGGCUGGGGGCUGCUUAAAGGACACAUGGCCAGAGACAUUGGGCCUUGCAAGCUCUGCAGAAAUGGUCCCCCAGCUGUCAGCCUCUAACAACAUUCUCUGCACCUACAGUCUUCUCAAAUGGCUGCAACACUCCUACUAUUAUUCAAACACAUUUUGCAGCCAGGAGGUAAUUCUGGUUCUGUGACAGCAGAGCAAAACAGCUGGGAACCCUUUAGCAAUUCUAUGGGAUUUGGUCAUGAUUCCAGAUGCAGCUGCUCUGUUUGGGAUUGUACAACAAAGCAAACAGGCACAUCCAUUGCUCAGGUGAUCCCUGUCACAGGCUGUCACUGACACCAGAGCCAAACACAACUGCAGGGUUUAGGAGAGAGCUUGGCUCUGGACAUCCAUCUUCUCAUUUCUCUCCCUCUCCUUCUGCGAACAGCUGAAGUAGGACUAAAACUCCAAUCUGGGCCCGAGCAGGAUCUCUCCCUAAUUAGGCCAUGAGGUACCCUUUGAAGAUGAAAGGCAGGAUGGAAAAAUUGCUAAAUAUUGUUCCCCUCUGAGGUAGGGGUGAAGAUAAAUUUGGCCUCAGUCUCCAGCAGCUGAUGCAAUCCCACUUUUAGAUAUCAAGACCAAGCCAGCGUGUCCUGCUCUGACAGACACCGCUGCCCUCCUUGCAUUCCUUUGGGCACUUCAGAAGGACCAAGUGUGUCCCAGCUGUGCUCUGCAGGCUGACACUGCUCUGCCUUCAGAGGAGCAGCCUGUGCAGGAGAGCUCUGCUGGCCCCCAAGCUCCAGCCACAGCUGCCAGCAGAGGGGAAAGCCCUGGAGAGCUGCCAGACGUGCUGGGCGUGUUGGCACUGACCUCUCCUCCAGUGGCCCUGUCGAGUCCUUUAGAAACGGCUCCAAAAGCCCUGGAGACAAAACAGCAGAGAAGAAAGAAGCAGUGCUUUAGGCCCUGGCAGGGAAAGCCAGCCCAGACAGGAGAUCUCUGCUGCCUGCAGCGUUCACAAACACCUGGGGGCAUCGACCCUUCCAACAACAGCGCAGCAGCCACCAGCCCUGUGCCAGGCAAGGUGUGCAAGGGAAAACUGAGACCCAACAUGAAGGAAUUGGGCUGCAGCAAAUCCCAAAUGUCCACCCUGAAUUGCUUUAGUUCAAAACCUGAGGUAAAUAAUCCUGACUGGUGGAUACUUUUUGAAGCAAAAUAUUUGAAAGAAAUCUUCUUGAGAACUGUGUUCUGACAGUCACCAGAUGGUGAGUUGCUCUUUUAGGCAGUCCAGUUCCAGGGACAGAAGAUCUUCCAGGUCCUGCUCUGUGCUGCAGGCAGGACACUGCCAGCCUCAGGGGCCUUCUGCCCACAGCUAUCAAUUCUGAUCAGGACUGAGAGACAGCAGGAUGGCAGCCCAGUGUCUGCAGGUGUUUGGAGCUCUCCUGACUUGUCACUUGAUCCUGCACCAGCACAACACCUGGCCCUGCUUGUGCAGAAGUAGCUGCCGUGCACUUACCCUUGGC